UCCAGUGCCCAGCCACCCACCGCCACGCUGUUGCGCGCCGCCGGGCGCGGCGACGGCGAUCUCCGGCCAGAUCCGGCUGAAGAGGCGAGUAGGAGUUGGAUCCUGUUCAGGGGACGGUGUGGAGAUGAUCUAGGAGGCGCGGGAGGAGGUCCAGCGGCGGGGUUAGCGUCGCCAGCCACCACGCCGACGCCCACCCUCGCACCGGCAUCACAUGAGGCAAAAAAUCGCAUAGACGCUCCUCCUCUCCCGGACAAGGUCUCAAAAGAGACGCCGCCGCCGAUCUGGGGAUACGCCGUCGCAGAUCACCAAGACGCGGCUGUCGCGGACCACCAGGACGUCAGCAGCGGCGGCGCCUCAGAUACGUCAUGGACCAGGACGCGGCCGUCGCCGAUCAGGAACAGGACACUGCUGUCGCGGAUCCCAGGACUGCCGGCGACGCCGCCUCAGAUACCCACACCAACCGCCAGCCGCUGCCCACCACAUCGACCAGCUCCAAGAUGGUGGUAUGCGGUUUUCUUGGCAGCGGCGUCGGGAUCAGGCUCCAGUUCCCCCUACCCCACAUUGUUGUUGUUGUUGCUGCUGCUCCAGUUCCAAUUCCAGCGAGUGCCAGCGAUGGGGAUGCUCGGAUCGCAGUCCCUGCUCUCAUUUUCCUCCAGCCUCUGGUAACCCUCCUCCUCACCCGCUUCGCCUAAGCGGGAUUCAUAGGGAGCAUCAGCUACGUCUUAUGUGGGGAUGAACCGAGUGAUAGGAAAAUAUUUUUUUGAAUGCAAUGGGAAGGCGAAAAACGACACGCCUUGGUGAAGCAACUCUGAGAUUCGGAAACAAGGACUCCUAUUUGUCUGUAGAGCAUGUGGAGCUGUUGGGCAAGCAGAGUUCUAUCUGGGUAUUCAGGUAGCUGAGGAUAACAGGGAAAAGGAAAAUCUCCAGGCUAUCAUGCAUACCAUGCACCUCUAAGGCUCGUGCUGUGAGCGUACUUUGGGGGAGGAGUACCACCCAUGGAUUGAUCCUUCGCUGGCAGGGCCGGGGCCAGGCCGGCGGUCAUGUCUUUCGGGUUGGCGGCGAGGGAGGAGCAGCAAGGCAAGCUCACGUUACCCAAGUAGCAGGCCUCUUGUGUCCUGAGUCCUGAUGCCACGGGUAGCUGGAGCUGAUGUUGCCCUUGGUUUAUGCACGAUGUAUGUUUUGCCUGCCAGCUUUUUUGAUUGGUCCAUCUAUGUUGUGUGAGAUCGUUUGGUGCUGAGAGCCAUGGUAGCGCUAAACAUGUUCUUGUUGCAUAUUGUUUUGAUUUCUUUAAAUGAAUAUUAGGCAUAGCAGUGGCCGAAGGCGGCCGGGUUCUUGCACCUAUCGGAGCUAGAGGAUUCCGUCGCUUAAGCCAAUGGGUGGAAGUCCUUCUUUACAAGCAGCAGCUCCACAAUCGCCUUUGCCAUUGAUGUCAGUGAGUCAGCUAGAUCAAGUUGCCUUCUUGCAAUUACCGCCCUUGUUGUUUCUUGUGUUGCUUUUCAAUGGGAUUGCUUGCCUGGUGUAUUGCACUUUAGGUAUGUAGCCCAGGUUUCCCAUAUGUAAUGUAGAUGCUAGAAGCUCAACCUCGUGUACAUGGUUUUGGGGAGGAGAUCAAGUCAGCAGCUGAUUGAAAAGUUCAGAGAUGAGAAUGACAACUACAUGAAGAAUGUUAUAAGUGGAAUAGACAAAAGAAAUUAUGUUUUCCUUACUGAUGCCUGCAUGCAAGUAUCCUAACCUUGGCACCUGCAUUACUUUAUGUAGAUGCAAAUAUCACGAAGCCACCAGCAUAAGGGUAUAUUUUGUUUAAUUCGGAUUAAUUUCUUAUGAUGUGCCUUUGAGGUCAUUUAUAUUGG